rnacentral:rRNA from 1 species
AUUGAACGCUGGCGGAAUGCUUUACACAUGCAAGUCGAACGGCAGCACGGGGGCAGCCCUGGUGGCGAGUGGCGAACGGGUGAGUAAUACAUCGGAACGUGCCCGGUCGUGGGGGAUAACGUAGCGAAAGUUACGCUAAUACCGCAUACGAUCUGAGGAUGAAAGCGGGGGACCUUCGGGCCUCGCGCGAUCGGAGCGGCCGAUGUCAGAUUAGGUAGUUGGUGGGGUAAAGGCCUACCAAGCCGACGAUCUGUAGCUGGUCUGAGAGGACGACCAGCCACACUGGGACUGAGACACGGCCCAGACUCCGACGGGAGGCAGCAGUGGGGAAUUUUGGACAAUGGGCGCAAGCCUGAUCCAGCCAUUCCGCGUGCAGGACGAAGGCCUUCGGGUUGUAAACUGCUUUUGUACGGAACGAAAAGGCUCUGGCUAAUACCUGGGGCUCAUGACGGUACCGUAAGAAUAAGCACCGGCUAACUACGUG